CGAACGGAAUUUUGAAACUUCGGUCGAUUAAUUCUAGUGGCGGACGGGUGAGUAACGCGUGGGUACCUGCCUUAACAGGGGGAUAACAGUCAGAAAUGGCUGCUAAUACCGCAUAAGGCUGCAUGGCAAAAACUCCGGUGGUAUAAGAUGGACCCGCGUUGGAUUAGCUUGUUGGUGAGGUAACGGCCCACCAAGGCGACGAUCCAUAGCCGGCCUGAGAGGGUGAACGGCCACAUUGGGACUGAGACACGGCCCAGACUCCUACGGGGGGCAGCAGUGGGGAAUAUUGCACAAUGGGGGAAACCCUGAUGCAGCGACGCCGCGUGAAGGAAGAAGUAUUUCGGUAUGUAAACUUCUAUCAGCAGGGAAGAUAGUGACGGUACCUGACUAAGAAGCCCCGGCUAACUACGUGCCAGCAGCCGCGGUAAUACGUAGGGGGCAAGCGUUAUCCGGAUUUACUGGGUGUAAAGGGAGCGUAGACGGUGUGGCAAGUCUGAUGUGAAAGGCAUGGGCUCAACCUGUGGACUGCAUUGGAAACUGUCAUACUUGAGUGCCGGAGGGGUAAGCGGAAUUCCUAGUGUAGCGGUGAAAUGCGUAGAUAUUAGGAGGAACACCAGUGGCGAAGGCGGCUUACUGGACGGUAACUGACGUUGAGGCUCGAAAGCGUGGGGAGCA
rnacentral:rRNA from 1 species